ACAACAUUUAAGUGACAGUUUAUAAAAAUCUUUUCAUGCAUUCGGAAAUGUAAGACGAGCGUAAAUGUAGCUGUUUGAAACUUGGCUUAUUAAUCAAGAUAUAUUAUAUUUUGGGCAUAGUACGCAGUUACAUUGGAUGUUCUUCUACUGCCUACCUAUCCUACACUCGGUUGUUCCGAGACCCAUGUUGAACAUCCUCGAACAUCACUCAUAAUCCCAUCCUCCAUUCGAGGCAAUCCUCUCAAGCCGCCCACGUUAUUGAUCGCACGACAUCAGUUUGAUAAAUCUCUGGUCCAUUGUGUGAGCAUAAAACUCGGCAUCGACGGAUCCGCUGACCUCCUCCAGCUUUCCUUUACUUUGCACCUGCCUUUGUCGGGCAUUCAAUUGUGGGACGGACUGUACUCCCCUUCUUCCAUGGCAUUAUUUAUGGGCACAGCGAGCAGUCCAGCUUGGCGCAGUUGUUAGGUUGGUGGGGGCUUCAUUGUUUUUACCACUAAACACCUGGCAAUAUAUCUUUUUGGUGCCACUGAAACGCGAGUUAAUCUAUGGACUGGCCCUUUUUAUUCCGCUUUAUCUUGCUGAAAGGCCAUGAAAGAUUGAGCUCUUCUUAUGCAAAAUGGAGCGAAGGGAAAAAAUGGUCGCGCUGUUCAGUGGCAGUUCAAACGACCAUAUCUAGUAAUUGCCCCUUUGAAUUGAAGAAAAACCGUAGUGCUAAAGUCUAAAGAUUAUAUACGCCCAGGUUGCGCAGUUCCAUUGGCACGCAGGAAAUUUAAAUCAACAAUUAAUUAAGGAGCAAAUUGAAAUUCAUGACUGUCGCUAAUCAGGCCCGCAUUUACAUGAAACCAAUAGCUGCAGAACGGUGGAAAAAAACUAUUAAAGGGCAAAGGCGCAAAAAAAAACCGGCAAAAUUAUGUCAGCAAUUAGGCAAACUAUGACACUCGAAAGAGGAACUCUCACUCUGCGAGGGAGUAGGGCGGAAAAUCGAGGAGCGAAGUGGAUUUGAAGGCAGACGGUAGAUGGCGAACGUGGACAUCAUUAAAAACUCAUUUACAUGCAGGCUGGGCUCUGUCGCAGGACAUUUG